UCCCACCCGAUCCCAUCCCGAACUCGGAAGUGAAACGCACCUGCGCCGAUGGUAGUGUGGCUCUAGCCAUGCAAGAGUAGGUCACCGCCAAGG
rnacentral:rRNA from 1 species